CUAUGCGCCUUGCCAGCCCGCUCAGGUGUGCCAGCCGCGCGGUAAUACGUAGGGAGCAAGCGUUGUCCGGAAUUACUGGGUGUAAAGGGAGCGUAGGUGGGGAUGCAAGUUGGGUGUCAAAACUAUCGGCUCAACCGAUAGUCGCACUCAAAACUGCAACUCUUGAGUGAAGUAGAGGCAGGCGGAAUUCCUAGUGUAGCGGUGAAAUGCGUAGAUAUUAGGAGGAACACCGGUGGCGAAGGCGGCCUGCUGGACUGCGACUGACGUUGAGGCCCGAAAGCGUGGGGAGCAAACAGG
rnacentral:rRNA from 1 species